GACAGCAGUCGCCGCGGUAAAACGUAGGGGGCAAGCGUUGUCCGGAAUUAUUGGGCGUAAAGCGCGCGCAGGCGGUCAUUUAAGUCUGGUGUUUAAUCCCGGGGCUCAACCCCGGAUCGCACUGGAAACUGGGUGACUUGAGUGCAGAAGAGGAGAGUGGAAUUCCACGUGUAGCGGUGAAAUGCGUAGAUAUGUGGAGGAACACCAGUGGCGAAGGCGACUCUCUGGGCUGUAACUGACGCUGAGGCGCGAAAGCGUGGGGAGCAAACAGGAUUAGAUACCCCGGUAGUCCCUGUCUCUUAUACA
rnacentral:rRNA from 1 species